GGAGGGGAAGAGCAGGGAGGAAGGAGUCUCUUUGCAAUAGCUGUAUUUACAUAUAUGUUUACAUGCCUCGGAGCGGCCUACAACCCAGCAGCAAAGAUUUUGCCUCCCACAGUUCUAACACGAGUGACCAGAGUUCAGAAGGUGGAGACGAGGCCCUUCCUGCUGUCAGGCUGCUGAGGCUAUAGCAGAGGAGACAUCUUCUGGGCCCUAGGCUGCAACACGAUCUUGUGGGGAGCUUAUUCAGUCUUCCAUGAUACCCCAGGUCCUUAUUCAGGAACUGGCCAGCUUUUCUGUGCUGGGGGGAUAGAUAGAGAGCAAAGAACAGGGCAGGAAGGAGGCUCCAGCUGGAUCUGCAGAGGACCCAACGGCAGAAGGCUGACGUAGCCAGCCUGGUCUUACAGUGCCGGAGAACAGCAAGCCCAUUCAUGAGGAUGGAGACUGCCACUCAGCCCUCUGAGUGUCUCAUUUGAGAACAAUAGCAUGACAGUCACCUAAAAGCAACUUUGAACAGCAUGUAGGGGUGAGAGCGACAUGCCCAGGGAAGGUUGGAUGGCACAAGAAGGAGAUGCUGAUGCAGGGACCAAGCAGAGGAUGUUCUCCAAAGUGAGGGCAGAGACCCGGAGAGAUGGUUGGCGACUCUGCUUCCAGUGCAGUGAGAGCCUCUGGGUGACCAGAGCUACGCCAGGACGCCUGCAGCCAAGCAAGGGGAAGAAACCUCCUGCAAGACAGCGGAUCUUCCCAUUAUUAUUCACUUCUGGUAACAUGUUACAAAACUGAAACUCUGUCCUCAUGAAAUACUAAGUUCCUCUCUCCCCGGGCCCCCAGUCCUCAGCCCACUGACUUUAUAUCUCUAUGAAACCAACUUGACAAUUCUAGGAACUUCCUGUGGGUAGAACCAUCCAGCACCUGCCCUCUGGUGACAUCAACACAAUGUUUUCCAGGUUCACCCACGGUGCAGCAUGGGUCAGCACCUCAUUCCUCUUUAUGGCUAGUGUUUAAUGAGUGCAGAGUCUCACCUGGGGACGGCAAGAAGGCUCCAGAGCCAGAUGGAUGGUGAUGGUCAUUACACAAUAACGUGCUCACUGCCAUGAAGUUGCAUAUUUGAAAAGGGUUAAAAUGGUGGAUUUUAUGUAUCUUUUGUACAAUGAAUAGCAAAGAAAAAGAAAUGUUCUUGCUUAUACAGUCCUUGGAAGAUACACAGCUUGUGAGGGCAGUUUUAACUGAGUGUGGGAUAAGAAUGUAUCUAAGCUAUAAAUAAAGGAGACAGAUAUAAAAGAAAUGCAACUUGCUCCCUUCCAUGUGCUCAACUGGCUGCUUGGACAUGUGGCUUUGUAACCCCCAGUACUUCAAAAUGUGACAGUGUUUAAUGGGGUUU